AGCUUUUUAGUAUAAAUUUUGUAUUUCUAUUUUCCAAAUAGAAGGUUUUAAGAGUUA
rnacentral:tRNA from 1 species